GAUGAACGCUGGCGGCGUGCCUAAUACAUGCAAGUCGAGCGAACGGACGAGAAGCUUGCUUCUCUGAUGUUAGCGGCGGACGGGUGAGUAACACGUGGAUAACCUACCUAUAAGACUGGGAUAACUUCGGGAAACCGGAGCUAAUACCGGAUAAUAUUUUGAACCGCAUGGUUCAAAAGUGAAAGACGGUCUUGCUGUCACUUAUAGAUGGAUCCGCGCUGCAUUAGCUAGUUGGUAAGGUAACGGCUUACCAAGGCAACGAUGCAUAGCCGACCUGAGAGGGUGAUCGGCCACACUGGAACUGAGACACGGUCCAGACUCCUACGGGAGGCAGCAGUAGGGAAUCUUCCGCAAUGGGCGAAAGCCUGACGGAGCAACGCCGCGUGAGUGAUGAAGGUCUUCGGAUCGUAAAACUCUGUUAUUAGGGAAGAACAUAUGUGUAAGUAACUGUGCACAUCUUGACGGUACCUAAUCAGAAAGCCACGGCUAACUACGUGCCAGCAGCCGCGGUAAUACGUAGGUGGCAAGCGUUAUCCGGAAUUAUUGGGCGUAAAGCGCGCGUAGGCGGUUUUUUAAGUCUGAUGUGAAAGCCCACGGCUCAACCGUGGAGGGUCAUUGGAAACUGGAAAACUUGAGUGCAGAAGAGGAAAGUGGAAUUCCAUGUGUAGCGGUGAAAUGCGCAGAGAUAUGGAGGAACACCAGUGGCGAAGGCGACUUUCUGGUCUGUAACUGACGCUGAUGUGCGAAAGCGUGGGGAUCAAACAGGAUUAGAUACCCUGGUAGUCCACGCCGUAAACGAUGAGUGCUAAGUGUUAGGGGGUUUCCGCCCCUUAGUGCUGCAGCUAACGCAUUAAGCACUCCGCCUGGGGAGUACGACCGCAAGGUUGAAACUCAAAGGAAUUGACGGGGACCCGCACAAGCGGUGGAGCAUGUGGUUUAAUUCGAAGCAACGCGAAGAACCUUACCAAAUCUUGACAUCCUUUGACAACUCUAGAGAUAGAGCUUUCCCCUUCGGGGGACAAAGUGACAGGUGGUGCAUGGUUGUCGUCAGCUCGUGUCGUGAGAUGUUGGGUUAAGUCCCGCAACGAGCGCAACCCUUAAGCUUAGUUGCCAUCAUUAAGUUGGGCACUCUAAGUUGACUGCCGGUGACAAACCGGUGGAAGGUGGGGAUGACGUCAAAUCAUCAUGCCCCUUAUGAUUUGGGCUACACACGUGCUACAAUGGACAAUACAAAGGGCAGCGAAACCGCGAGGUCAAGCAAAUCCCAUAAAGUUGUUCUCAGUUCGGAUUGUAGUCUGCAACUCGACUACAUGAAGCUGGAAUCGCUAGUAAUCGUAGAUCAGCAUGCUACGGUGAAUACGUUCCCGGGUCU
rnacentral:rRNA from 1 species